CUGAUACUCCCUCUGUCCAACAAAAGAUGUCUCAAGUUUGCCAAAAUUUGGAUGUAUCUAGACAUGACUUAGUGUAUAGAUACAUUCAAAUUUAGUCAAAGUUGACACAUCCUUUGUUGGACAGAGGGAGUAUAUA
rfam:Brachypodium distachyon strain Bd21 chromosome 3, whole genome shotgun sequence.